AACGAACGCUGGCGGCAUGCCUAACACAUGCCAGUCGAACGAGACCUUCGGGUCUAGUGGCGCACGGGUGCGUAACGCGUGGGAACCUGCCCUUAGGUUCGGAAUAACUCCCCGAAAGGGGUGCUAAUACCGGAUAAUGUCUUCGGACCAAAGAUUUAUCGCCUUUGGAUGGGCCCGCGUUGGAUUGGCUAGUUGGUAGGGUAAAAGCCUACCAAGGCGACGAUCCAUAGCUGGUCUGAGAGGAUGAUCAGCCACACUGGGACUGAGACACGGCCCAGACUCCUACGGGAGGCAGCAGUGGGGAAUAUUGGACAAUGGGCGAAAGCCUGAUCCAGCAAUGCCGCGUGAGUGAUGAAGGCCUUAGGGUUGUAAAGCUCUUUUACCCGGGAUGAUAAUGACAGUACCGGGAGAAUAAGCUCCGGCUAACUCCGUG
rnacentral:rRNA from 1 species